ACGAACGCUGGCGGCGUGCUUAACACAUGCAAGUCGAACGGAAAGGCCCUGCUUUUGUGGGGUGCUCGAGUGGCGAACGGGUGAGUAACACGUGAGUAACCUGCCCUUGACUUUGGGAUAACUUCAGGAAACUGGGGCUAAUACCGGAUAGGAGCUCCUGCUGCAUGGUGGGGGUUGGAAAGUUUCGGCGGUUGGGGAUGGACUCGCGGCUUAUCAGCUUGUUGGUGGGGUAGUGGCUUACCAAGGCUUUGACGGGUAGCCGGCCUGAGAGGGUGACCGGCCACAGUGGGACUGAGAGACGGCCCAGACUCCUACGGGAGGCAGCAGUGGGGAAUAUUGCACAAUGGGCGGAAGCCUGAUGCAGCAACGCCGCGUGGGGGAUGACGGCCUUCGGGUUGUAAACCGCUUUCGCCUGUGACGAAGCGUGAGUGACGGUAAUGGGUAAAGAAGCACCGGCUAACUACGUG
rnacentral:rRNA from 1 species